ACUCGCCCUGUGGAGAGGACAAAUUGGAUUCAUGACCAGACCUCCGAGAGGCUGCGUCUCCAGGCAGCUGGGGGGAAGCUGUCUGGAAACAAACACGUUUUCCAGCUCACUCGACCCUCGCAUUUCCAGAGCAGAAGGUCUGAGAAGCAUGCUGGGAUACUGAGUACAUUGGUUGUCCAACAUAGACAUCUCUCACCAACAGAGUAACAGGUAAGAAAAGGACCAUUUUAAUCUAUUGCAUCAGUUGCUACCAGGAGGAUUUCCUGGCACCUUUCUCAUUUUUAUUAUUUUCGUAUUUCUUUAAAUAAUGAUAAUGCAAUUAAUUAAGUACAUUAGUAUCAGUGACUGAGGGAAGCUUAUUUCCCUUCAGCAGUUUGUAUUUGGUUUUAUCUCUUUUUUUUUUAGACAAGGUCUUACUCUGUCACCCAGGCUAGAGUGCAGUAGUGUGAUCUUGGCUCACUGCAACCUCUGCCUCCCCGGUUCAAGUGAUUCUCCUGCCUCAGCUUCUAAAGCAGCUGGGAUUACAGGAGCCCAUCAUCAUGCCUGGCUAAUUUCUGUAUUUUUAGUAGAGAUGGGGUUUCGCCAUGUUGGCCAGGCUGGUCUCAAACUCCUGACCUCAGGUGAUCUGCCAGCUUUGGCCUCCCGAAGUGCUAGGAUCACAGGGGUGAGCCACGGUGCCCGGCCUUUACCCCCUAUUUGACUGCACAGGUCCUUGUGUGAUUAAUGCUUUUACCUCGGUGUCUUUUAACCAUAGGAAGCAUAAUCUAAUCGUCUUUAGUGCUCUGACAUCCAUGCUCAUUUGCAAGUCAUAUGAGAGGCCUUGCUAACUGAUGGUCGAUGCUCACGGACAUGUGGGCUUUGACAGUCACUACCUCCUUUUCGGGCAUCAUGAGAGGAUUCCUGCAGCUUUCUACAAGAGCACAGUGAGGGUGAAGAAGAGAGACCAACACCUGCAAGAGAAUUCAUCCUCCCACGUAGCUGUUCAGUCUUUGUUCAGAAAGCCUGGAGGUGACCUUGGACAGGAGAUGCAGAUCCAUCCACUGCAUGUCCAUCCCAGGUUCAGUAAGCUCUUCCCAGAUAUCCUUGUCUUCAGUCUUCCUAUUGGUUUCCUGCCCUGCUCCUGA
rnacentral:lncRNA from 13 species